rfam:Camelus ferus unplaced genomic scaffold scaffold1183, whole genome shotgun sequence.
GAGGGUAUAGCUCAGUGGUAGAGAACCUGCUUAGCAUCUACGAGGUCUCGGGUUCAAUCCCCAGUACCUCCA